rnacentral:sRNA from 1 species
UCUUUGGCCUUCUGAUCUCUUCAGCUUUAUUUGUUUAUUUGGAGACAGUCUCUUUCUGCCACCCAGGCUGGAGUGCAAUGGUGCAGUCUUGGCGCACUGUAACCGCUGCCUCCAGGGUUCAAGCGAUUCUCCUGCCUCAGCUUCCCAAGUAGCUGGGAUUACAGGCGUCUGCCACCACGCCCAGCUAAUUUUUGUAUUUUUAGUAGAGACGGGGUUUUACCACGUUUGCCAAGCUGGUCUCGAACUCCUGACCUCAGGUAAUCCACCUGCCUCGUCUUCAGUUUAGUUAUACCUUCUUUGACCCAGAAUUUGGUAAAGACCAGAGGGAGCCUCUUAGAAUCUUAUCUGUAAAACUCAGGAGCCGAGAAGCUUUAAGAACAGUGAGGUUGAAGGGCACAGGCUCUUCGUCCUUGGCAGCGAUACUAGGAGGCGUGCCUAGGGAACCUAGGAUUCUGGGGAGCUGGACGUGAAACUCUGUGGUGGAAUAGAAAUCCUCAGGGCAUGAGCUAUACCUAAAAAG